rnacentral:lncRNA from 1 species
GGAAUGUUGUCUGUAACACAGAAGAUUCUUAAUAAAGGCCUGCCAACUUGAAGUGGACUUAACACACCUGCUCUUGCCAUAAGCACAUUGUUUUCAAAAAUGAAAAAGCAUCAGAGAGAAGGAGAGACAGGGGUCUCAGAUACAGAGGCCACCGUGAAUCACAUCACCCAGCCCUGCAGUUGCCUUGCACCUCCUGCAUUAGCGGCACCAGUGAUGCGUGUCUGUCAUCUCCCCUGCCACGGUUUGCAUCCCUAGCCCAGCACCGGGAUGGAUGAAAGGGAUCAGAGUCCAAGAGGAGCCUGCUCUUCAAAAAUGCCUAGCGACAAACAGUCCUGGGAGGAUGGCCACAGGGAAAUGGAAGAGAAAACUGAAUUAUUCUGAUUUACCUUCUCUUGUUAAUCGGGUCCCUUUGCAACCACUAGAGACUUUCAGGAAAAAAAAUCAGCUUAUUUAUCUCCUUUCAUAUGGAAUGCAAUAAAACCAAGGGGGAAACAAGCUAUAAAGUGACGCAUUUUUCACAGCAAUAGCUCCUAGGGGAGCAAUACAAGAAAAGAAAAAGAAAGAUGAUCCAACAUCAGGGAAGACAUCUGCUAAAGUGGAUGUCAAGACAAAGCUUCACAUUUUCACAUUUCCCUCAAAUAAUCAUUUUUCUUCUUUCUGAGGAAAGUGUAUUUCAUUUGCACAGGGCUAUCUGGGAAAUAGCAAUCAUUAAUACUAAACGUACUUGGUCCUACAGCUGCCUUGCUCACAGGGAAGCAAAGGAAGAAUGCUGGUUCUUGCUAGACAAUCAGAGGGCACAGUGACUGUAAAAUUAGUGUCAGAGUGGGCCUGGUACCAUUAAAAUUUAGAACGAGGCAAGAACAGACUGUGUCAUUUUCCCAGUCAUGAGCUCUCAGUUUGAGCUGAUCAAUUCCAUACAAGAAAGAGAGUGUCACAAAGUUAAGCCUAAAAUUCAGCUGUUAGUGCAAUUUUCUCUUACUAAAUUUAAUACCGGGUAUAUUGUGAUCGAGAACAAAUUUACAUUUGCUUUGUCCUUUAAAUGGAAAGGUGAAGUCUUCUCUGUGACCAAAGCUAUGAACCCACAAUACAAUCAAGGGCUUUAGAGUUCUCAACCAUGCAGCCUUUGCUGUCUUUGACACUUGAGUAUUUUUCCUUUACUUUUCUAUUUCCUGCUUUAAAAAAAUGGUUUAAAAAUUUCUUGGACCUUCAGAUUAAGUUUCUGGGAAUCUAAAGAUUUUUAACAUUAUUAAAUUGUCUAUUAUAGUAAACUUAAAACUCACAAUAAUUUUUCCUUGAAAUACCAAAGCUGAUUUGCAUAAUUAAUUUUAUGAUAGAAAUUUUUACAUUGCUUUUAUUAAAUUUUCAAUAGACAUAUACAAGUAUUUUAAUAUAUAUUUACAGAGUAAAGAAUAUAAACAUAAUUAACUCCAAGAUACCUACCAGUUUAUCUAAGAUAGAGAAUAAAGCUAAUGCUUUUGAAAUUCGCUGCUUCCUGGUUCCCAACUCCUUGCCUCUUCUCUUAGAACUAUCACUUAAAAGUUGGGUUUAUGAUUUUCUUGCAUGUGUAUGUGUGUAUGUGCAUUUAUCAUAUAUGUAUGCUUGAUCAGAAAAUUGUUUGGCAGAAUGUUUUUAAAGGCCUAAAUGGAAAAAGGCAUUUUUACUGACACUAAUGAUUUGCUUUUUUCACUUAACUUUCUCUGGCUGCAAUUUAUCUGUGUUGACGCACAUAGCUGUAACUCAUUCACUUCCCUUGCUGUAUAGUAUAGUAUUUCAUUGAAUAAAUAUAACACAAUUUACAUAUUAUUCUCUUGUUAAUGGACAU